UACGAAGGGGGCUAGCGUUGCUCGGAAUCACUGGGCGUAAAGCGCACGUAGGCGGUCCUUUAAGUCAGGGGUGAAAUCCCGGAGCUCAACUCCGGAACUGCCUUUGAUACUGGAGAUCUUGAGUCCGGGAGAGGUGAGUGGAACUCCGAGUGUAGAGGUGAAAUUCGUAGAUAUUCGGAAGAACACCAGUGGCGAAGGCGGCUCACUGGCCCGGUACUGACGCUGAGGUGCGAAAGCGUGGGGAGCAAACAGG
rnacentral:rRNA from 1 species